AUGUAUUCUUUGUAUCAAGCUUGGCUCUUGCGAGAGAACAGCUCUCUCGCCUCCUCGACGAUGGUCACUAUUCCGGACACGAUCAUCCACGUUGGCACGGAUGACAAUAUGCAAAAAUUCAGCGGGCACAAAAUCAUCCUCUCCUCGCAGAGUGGGUACCUGCGAUCCUUACUGGCGACUCAAGAGGCCGCACCUGAGAUUUACAUAACCAACGUUAAUGCCGAAAUAUUUGGCAUCCUCUUAACAUUCAUGUACACCGGUUACUUGAAUAUAAAUUCUGAGAAUAUAUACAGUGUGCUUUUGGCGACGCAUUUGUUGCACAUGCCGAGGGCUCUGGAUUUGUGCAGAUCUUUUCUCAUUGAACAGCAAACACUUCCUGCAUUGUUGCCGCCUACACCCACAACUCCAGCUUUACCAGCGAAUAUCAUCAAACCUAUUCCCAGCCGGAAACUUCUCCCAGCGAUAAUACAGCAGCAGAAAAGCCAACCUCACCAGGAGAAAGGCCGCUGGGAUAUGAGCUCUACUGUUUUCCACCCGGUGCAAUCAAAACCAAUACCAAUCGUAGACCCUCCUCCGUUGACCAUCAACACGCAACAACCUUCAACGUCAAAAGAGACGAAUAUGUCGACUUCCGUUUCGAGUUUAUCUCCUUGCCUCUCUAACAUAAGUGGAACCACGGAUGAACUGACUGUCACCAUCACAGAGAGAAACGAAGAAAUCUCAAAGAAAAAAAGCAAAUCCAGAAACUCCAAAAGUAACGAGGAAAAUAAUAAAGUCAUCAUAGACGUAGCCUCGUGUGACGGUCCUGUGAGGUUUCAAAGGAUUUUGAAUACCAACUACCGAGCUAAGAUUCAAGAUUCAGCAGUCGGAGAAGAUGAAAACCAAGGGGAACACUUGAAUACAACCAAGAAUGCAGAGCCAGAUAGUAAACAGAUGCCUAUUCAGAGUCAAAAUUAUCUCGAUGAAAAAAUUGCCGAUGGAAAAAGCGAAGACACUCUGAAAUGUAGUUACUGUGAUCACACUUUUAAGAGCAAGUAUUGCCUCCAGAAACACAGCAAACGCCACCUGACUUCUGUUGAAAUGGGAGGUGUAAUAAAAGUUAAGGCAGUGCCUCAUCCACCUUUCAUGAAGCUGAGUUCUAAAAAACUACCACCAGCCCAGUCCAUUGGAUCAAAGCGUGAAGUGCGACUACUUGAUAUGAACGUUCAAUAUUACCCGUGUAAAACUUGUGGAUCCAAAUUUCCUAGCUACUAUUUUGUUCAUAAACAUCGCAAAAUGUGUCACCCAGAGGAAGAAAAUUUGGUAAAUAAUCAGCUCAUAUCAGAUGAUACAUCCAAAUCAGAAAAGAGUUCUUUGCUAGUAGACAAUAGUAAUGCUAUAAAAACUGAUUGA
rnacentral:lncRNA from 1 species